AAACGAGGAGGCUAGAGAGAAUGAAGCUGGGGACGUUAUUUCGUUAGAGACUGCACACAGCUGGUUAAAUAGGACUCCGUCAUGUAUUUUAUGAAGUGAUUUUAUUUUUGCGUGCACAGUACAGAGCAGUUCUAUACUAUACGAACGAACCCAGUGGAGGACAUCUGCAAGUGCACCUGGACCAGGCACCGCCCACCUAUUCAAACCGACCUAUGACCCCUCAUGUACUGUAAAUGACCAGUCCUUUGACCUAUGGAUGAAGAGAUUACAGUUUCCUUUGUUUCAUGCUUUGGACUAUUGUAUAAAGGCCAAGCCUCCUGGCCGGUCUCAGUCUCAUUCUCUGAAGGUCAUCUAUCCAGAUUGACUGAGGACCGGAUCCGGGUGGCGCAGGUGAACAAACCAUCUUCCACACAAUCUGCUACUGUAUGGCUGAAGUGGACAUACAUAUCUUUACUGGAUGUGGACAAGGCCAUUUUGCUCAGAUUCCAUUUGAUGUUUUAUUGUUUUCGUUUCUUACAAUCAAGAUGAGGGGAGUGUGGUUGGCGUCUUGGAGAUGUGUCUAAAAUUUGGAGUGGUGGGACUGAAGAAACUGUAGACAAUCUUCGUGGCGGGGUAGACUGCUGUGAUUGGGACUGGCAUCAGACCUUGCUUUCUUUGUUGCCACAUGUAUUAUUGAUUGGUGUGGUACAGGAGUCCACCUUCUGCUGCUCAAGUCUUCUUUUGAUGGACCUAGUAUUUAAAGUGUUCUUUUGUUAUGGCCAUUCAUUUACAAACAUAACCUAUACUACAAUGGACACUUUACCUGCUUCCGCAGCGUCAUCAUCAUCAGAUGUCAUGGGAGUGACUGUAGGCCGACCAGUACUGCUUUUUUUCAACACUGUAAAUAAUGAAAAAAAUAAAAGAACUCAUUUAAUCAUGCUAUUGUUGAUACAUCCACCCAUUAUGUUUAUAAACAUUACAUCUUACAAAAAUGGAUGUUUUUUAUGUGGGAAUAAUUUCGGACCAAAAACAAUUUUUUUUGUAAAAAACACACAUUGGCCAAUAGCCAUAUGCACUAUGGAAAGUGCAACACAGGAAAUAAUGUACAGGACACAGACAUAGGACACAAUUACAAAUACAUACACUAACAAGCCAAAACACACACAUCUUCAUUUAAAAAUGUAAUGUAAUUAAUGAAAGAUGCAAUAUAGAAAAUGCUCUGUGAUGUGGCACUCCAAACACACAUUAGCACAAUAUGAGCCAAAAAACAAAAAAAAAACAAAAAAAAAAACCCAUCAUAAUAGUAAGGUAACUAAGUCUGCAGUGUUGUGUCAGGGUACAAAUACAGACUCAAAAUGAACCAACAAAUAGUGGGUUUGUCUUAAACAAGAUUGCAUUCAGUACUAAUGAAAUUACACAUGUAACUGGCUUCAAAGCCACUUUGCACUACUCCAGCCUCUAACAUGUCAACCACUGUUUUUGAAACAUUGCACAUGGAUAACUGAAAUAAAAUACAUAGUCCUACUUUCAAACUGUAAAAUGUGCAAAAGGAAAACAUUAUUGCUGGACAAUUCAAUGACACACCAAGUCCAAACUACACAUGGAA